AGAACAGGAGGUACUUGACUGUGACCCCUAUUCUAGCAAGAUGGAGAACAAUAUAUCAGUGCCACCAUCGCACCACGAUACAGGUUCUUCUUUUAUCUCUGUCACUACAACACCUCAUGCAAACAAGCACAGACUUCAUGGGUAAUAAGGCAACUCUAUUGCCACCCCGCUGUGGAGGGAAAUCCAAUGAACCGUGAUUCUUGUGUGCGCUCC